rnacentral:misc_RNA from 1 species
AUAUAAACCAAAUAAUGAGACAUAUAACUAAGAUUGCAACUGUCAGAGCAAGCAAAAUACCAAACUCAAAAUUGAACAUAAUGGUCUGAUAUCUAGUUCUAUAAAAAGUGCAAAAGAUAAUCGAAUGAUCACAACAGAAGUGUCUUUUUCUUCCCCUUGCCAGUGGAUGUUAGAAUCCACUAGUCCAGAGCACCAAAAUUGAAGUAAUUUGAAAUAGUGACUCAAUCCACUCAAUGAUUAAAGCACGUUUUACAUAAACAAGUUAGGUUUGGUGGCCUUGUAGGUAGUCUUGAGUUUCCUGGAAGGUGGCCUGACUUUCUUGAACACCAACGGGAACUUGAUUUUGGAGUCGUGGAACUGCUUUGUGCUCUCCCGCUUGCAGAGCUUAGCUGGAAUAGUGGCCGUCUUGAUGAUCUGGAUGCAGUGAUGACGGACCCUGUGGCGAGAAGCCAUUUCAGUGUACAUCUGUUCUACACCACCAUUCAAUGUUGUAUCACGGUACUCCUUGUACAUGUUGUGGUAUCCCGUUCUACUCUGGUAACGGAGCCAAAUACCAUAAUUCUU